UACGUAGGGAGCAAGCGUUGUCCGGAAUUACUGGGUGUAAAGGGAGCGUAGGCGGGAUAGCAAGUCAGGUGUGAAAACUAUGGGCUCAACCCAUAGAUUGCACUUGAAACUGCUGUUCUUGAGUGAAGUAGAGGUAAGCGGAAUUCCUAGUGUAGCGGUGAAAUGCGUAGAUAUUAGGAGGAACAUCAGUGGCGAAGGCGGCUUACUGGGCUUUUACUGACGCUGAGGCUCGAAAGCGUGGGGAGCAAACAGG
rnacentral:rRNA from 1 species